rnacentral:lncRNA from 1 species
GACGCUCGGAAGCGCCAGUUUGGCCUUAAUCUGCUUGGGACGCAUGCAUCGAGCAACGCGAAGCGCUUGCCCCGCUCUUUUGCCCCCGCCCGCCUCGCGGUCCAGUCUCUGCGCGGUUUUGUUGACUUCCAGGCGCGCCAGUUGAGCCGCUCCUGUUUGCUCGAGAAGUCUCGAGGUCAUCCUUCUGCUCUGUCACUUCGGCUGAAGGCUCAAAGCGUCUCAACUCGGAAACGCGAUCGGGAAAGACAAGUCUCGCUUCCUUGAUGUGGCUGUUCUCGGGAACGGAUUCCCUUCACUCCGCGCAUCCCCCCGACGCAGCCUCUCCCAGCACGAUCUCCACUCAUACAUCCUGCCCGGGUAAUAUAGAGCGUCGUGCGUGUACAGCGAGGAAUCCACCGGCCGUCGCGUGAAGAAAACCGCUUCUGUUAUUUUUGGCGGCUCGCCUCGGUGCUCUGAAAUGAGUUCAAAGCCUUCAGAAAGCAACAGGGAUGCAAACAAAUCCGCACAGCACCUCAUUUCGACCGAGAUAUACGCAAACACUCUACCGCCGUAUAGACAUGUCCGCAUUCAGAGCCGCGGAAAAGGACUCUGCCCCGGUGACCACUUUUCAGGGACAGCCGAACCUACGUACACUCUAAAUGAAGAAGCGCUCUCCUGUUGAGUGACUCUUCCUUGUCAAGAUUGUGGGAAUUCCCGAAAAAAACCCUUGUUGCUUUUGGACGGAACGAACGUAACCAAGGAGACUCACGACGGCCUAUAGGGUUCCUUGGCGGGGCUCCAAUCGCGCGCGCGCGUCGAUGCCGUCGCCAGGCAAGGGCAAACCCGUGGACGUCUUAGCUUGGUUAAGAAAUCCAGAAGGUGCCUUUGUCAUCUUGUUCUCGAGAAGCAAAUUCGUCGUUCGGGACAACGAGAAGGGACUCUUCCAACAGCUACGGCCGGCGGGCACACGUCCUGCGAAGGCGCGUUGCUGGAACGUGGAAGCCUGGGGCUCCUCGUUUGUGCUCCAGUCUUUGGAGUCGUUUGCCCCUAUUGAGACGAAGUCAUUGAAUUGUAUUGGCGUCGACUCUUCAUUCUAGCCGCUGUUCUCCUUUCCACCUGUGACUACCUAACGAGCAGUCAGUCUGGGGCGGUCACGGCGUACGUAUCUGGUUUGAAUCAGGAUAUUCCUACUGCAGAAAACGUAUCCGCGUAUCUAGGAUGCUGAAACGCAUUUGGAAGCGUUUUCCAAAUGGUAGGGCAGUCGAAAAGAGUAGUGCAAGACGUUGCGCGGCUGUUGCGCGCGGCUGGCCGGCUGCCGGUUUGCUACGAGAUUCACCACGAGGGCCGACUUGUUUGUCUGAAAAGCUUCAAUCCGUUACGGGAUGUCAGAAGGACACCUUCUUCUCGGGGGCGCGGGUGUGAAGCAUCACCAAGGUGGUGCGUUCCACGGAGCCCACAGAGGCGUCUACGGUCACCGCUGCACAUCUCACACCUGAGACUUGCUCCUGGCGAGGGAACGCCUCCCGAGGCAGAAAGCCUCCUCUGGCUGCCUGCUGGUACUCUCUGUUCCGGUCGAUUCGGAGUAUCAACACGGCGAGGAGCAGGUCGCCGAACGUUUUACGUUCACGGGGUCGCCUCGGAUGUGGCAGAACGGCGAAAGUUGUGGAACUCAGCGACGUAUCUUGCAGACGCGAGCUUCUGGAGGGCGCGCCUUCUCGCUCCUCUUAAUUUGGAGCUGCCGAAACACCGCGAACAGAUCUCUUUUGGUGAGGCAACUUCUUGGCACGUUCCACGCGCCGUGGCGUUUAAGAUACUAGCGUAGUUUCGCCUUGAAGCAAGCUUUCCGGGGGAUCGCUUCGGACGGCAAUACAGGGGUCACCAGGCUGCAAGUCAAGGAACAACCUGACUCUCGCUCAUCUGAAGGUGCCGAGACGCUUCAACAGCCGGUGAAACCACACACUGGGAAGCCCCUACCCGUACUUUAUGAGUGGAGCACCGCCGAUUGAGGUCCGUCCGGGGGUGCGAAGACAUGCAGGACAAAAAAGGGUUUUCAUCCUCCAUUACCGCAUGCAGCCCAGCUCGUAUUCCAUCUAAAAGAGGUUGCGCCAGGGCAGCCUCUGCAUCGGCAUCAGCGAACUGGAGUUCGUCAAGGAACGCGUCCUUCUCGGCAGGCG